AAAAUGGCUGGUAGUUUUUCUGGUUUAAUGGGUUUAGACUUUGACAAAAUUUUCAAUAAUCUUGUUCAUUUUGUUAGUUUAUUUCAUCUUUAAUUCUGGCUUUUUUAUUUAUCUAAUUGUAAUUAGUUGGUUACUGAUUCUGUUUACCUAUUGGACCAGUCAGUCAACCCUUUAAAAUCCAACUUAACAAUUUUUUUGUGAUAUAUUUGUAUGCUUCAUUUUUGUGUAAUAUUUUUCCUUGAUCUAUCUCUACUACUCUACACCUUAUGCUCUUGUUGUAAAACGUAAAUCUACGCACGUAUAAUUAUUAUACCCUUAUACGCCGUUUGCACAAUUUUUUAGUUUAUUUACUAUUUGUAAAGAAGCCUGUGAAUCUUUAUCAUGUCUUUUCCACCUCCUGGUCAUUUUCUUACAAAUCUAUCUGCGAUGGCGUCUUUGAUGAAUAUGAAUCCAAAUCAAUAUCAAAUAACACCUAUGGGUGGGAUCAUGCCUAUCGCUGGCUUACAAGUUCCUCAUAUGACCACAGGUAUUUCAGCUCCGCCUGGAGUUACCACUAUUUCUGCACCUCCAAUGCGUAAAGUAACACAAGACCCAUCUAUCCUUGGUGUUAGUCAAUUACCAGGAUUAGCUUCUCCUUUCAUAUUUCCGCCCUUAACUUCUACUUCUGGUGUGGGUGUUGUUACCGGUGUCGUUAAUACCGGGCACAUGAAUAAAUCUAGCUCAUCAUUAUCUCACAAUAAUGCAAACUCUCACAGUGGUAAUCAUAAAAAGUCUUCAUCUAAUGGUCCUAGUAUUACAGUUUUUGUUGGCAAUAUUACGGAAAGAGCUUCAGAUAUGUUGAUACGUCAACUACUAUCCAAAUGUGGUGCUGUAAAUAAUUGGAAACGAGUGCAAGGAGCUAAUGGUAAACUGCAAGGAUUUGGUUUUUGUGAAUACUCUGAUCCCGAAUCAGCAAUGAAGGCCAUUAGACUUUUACACGAUUUUGAAGUUGCUGAUAAAAAACUGGUAGUCAAAGCCGAUGCAAAGACUCAAGAAAAAUUAGAUAAUUAUUUAAAAGAAAAAAGUCCCAAAGGAAAUGACUUUGGUGAUAGUGGCCAAGAAACUGAAGACCGAGAGUUAUUUAACCAAUUGCAUGGUAUUUUAAAGGAACAUGAAAUUGAACUAUCCCGUGAUCCAGAUCCAAACAAAGCCCAAUCCCGUCGUUAUGAUAAAAGGACUGGCGAAUCUACUAAGCCUGAAAAUCUAGCUGACAUGGAUAUGGAAGAAGAGAAAAGAUCAUUAAUUCACAGAGAAAUCGAUAAAUUCAGGGACACUUAUAAGGUUGAUGAGAGUGAAAAGAAAAUCGAUCAGGAUCGUAAUAAAGAUGCCAAAGGCAAUGAUUCUAGGAAUCGUGAUGAUAGAGCAGAUCGUUCAGAUGAUCGGUAUUCUCGUGGACAAUCAAUGGAAGUUGAUUCCGAAAACAGCCGUCGGGAACGACAAAGAGAAAGAACUCCUCUAUCCAAAGAAAGGCCCAGAAAUCGUGAUCGAUACGAAAGAGAAAGACAUGAGCGCAUUGAGCGCAAUGAGCGAAAUGAGCGAAAUGAGCGAAAUGAGCGAAAUGACCGUAAUGAUCGUAAUGAUCGUAACGAGCGUAAUGAUCGCAAUUCAAGGAUGGAACGAAAUGAUCGAGAUAGAGAACGAGAACGUGAUAGAGAUAGAGAACGGGAAAGAGAUCGUGAUCGAGAGCGAGAACGAGACCGAGCUGAAGAAAACGUACAUAACGAAAGAAUCGUCGAAGAUGAUGAAGAAAUGCAAGAAAGAAGACGACUCGAAAGAAAACUUCGAGAGAAAGAAGCUUCAUAUCAAAAACGUUUAAGAAAUUGGGAAGCUCGAGAAAUGAGGAAAAUGAAAGAUUAUAAAAAGUAUGAAAUGAAACAAGAAAUGAGAAAAGAAGAAGAAAUUAAAGAAGUCCGUAAACUAAAACAAUUCCUGGAAGAUUACGACGAUGAUCGUGAUGAUGCUAAAUACUACAAGGGUAGUGCUUUGGCUCGAAGAUUACGCGAACGGGAAAAGGAAAAAGAAGAAGACACCAGAGAUCGAAGACAAGAAAAGAGGGAACUCGAAGACCUUCGUAGAAAGUUAACCGAAGAAGGUCACCCUGACCCUGAGAGUGAAGCUCAAAAACGUCUCAAUUCUAGUGAUAAUAAUAGAGAGCGAGACAAAAUAGUCAGUAAUAAGAUGCGAGAACUCUUAGAUGAUGCCAAACUUAAGGCAAAGAAAAUCGAUGACGAUAACAGUCUCCCUGGUAUUAUCGAGAGUACUAAUCGCAGUGAGAUGCAUGUAAAGUCCUUUACUUUCACUGGUAUUAAGAUGGGUCAUGGACCAAAGCAGCCAGCUAAUUCAAUUCUCAAUAGUCCUGGUGAAAAUUCAAAUCCAGGUUCUAAUGGGGAAAAGCGAAAGAAGUUUUCCGUGCAAGACGUUUUCAAUUCUAAUGAUGAUGAUGAUAGUUCAAGUCGAAGUAAAAAACGUAAACCGCCGCAAUUAAUGGAUGACAACACUGAUAGCAAUCAAAGUGUGUUGAGUGGUACUACAAAAUCAGCAACCUCUGGAAUGGCUGGGGAAAAUAGUAUUAAAACUAACCUUUCUACAGAGGAGAAAAAGAAGCAAGUUAAACUGUUGAUCGAAAAAAUUCCAACUACUAAAGAAGAUCUAUUCAAAUACACAAUUGAUUGGUCCCUGGUGGAUGCCAAUCUAAUGGAGAAACGGAUUCGUCCAUGGGUCAACAAGAAAAUUACUGAAUAUAUUGGUGAGGAAGAGCAAGCUUUAUUGGACUUUAUUUGCAGUAAACUUCAAGCCAAGACAUCAGCGCAGAGUAUAUUGGACGACGUUGCCAUGGUUUUAGACGAUGAAGCAGAAGUGUUUGUGGUCAAAAUGUGGAGAUUGUUAAUUUAUGAAAUUGAAGCCAAGAAAAUAGGACUAGGAAAAUAAACCUAAUUUAAGUUAAAUUAACGUUUAAUCCACAUGCAACAUCCCAAGUUUAUCCCAAAAAAAUAAAAAAAAAUAUAAAUAAUUGAUGACUAUAAUACUGCUGACCAUCGUUGAUGACCAUCUAAUUCGGUGAUGCUGACAAUAUUCUUUCUGGAAAGAAGAUAGGAAAAAGGAUAAUUCUGCAACUUAAGUCAGCCUUUAAACAAUUAUUAACCCAGAUGAUCACGGGUAUUUCAGUCCCGCGUGGAGUUAUCACUAUUUUUACACCAGCAAUGUGAAAAGUAACACAAGCCCUUGGUGUUAGUCAAUUACCAUUAUCAUCUCGUUUCAUAUUUCCGGUAAAUGAUGUUUCUGUGGAUUUUUACACGUUUUCCAUAUUCCUUCACGCUAUGGCUAUUUUCGCUGUCGACAAUUUAAUCUUCAAGUUCUUGUAAAUGCUAUUCAUAAUUAUGAUUGUUAGCCUUAAACAACAACUACUUUCGGUAAUUUGGUAAACAAUCCCAAAACUGCCCGGCUAGCACUACAGCUCCACUAGAAAUCCAUGUGGUUUUUGGCUGGCACACGUGGUGAAAACUGCCACAUGAACCCAAUUCCUGAAUAGGAUAUUUACUUGGAUGGAUUUAUAUUUUUUACCCAUUAUUUGAAUGACUUUGUUAACUUACCGUCUUCUAUGUCAUUCUAGACGGAUAUAAGAGCAACAAGUUUUCCUUGUGUAAAUUGGCCAUGGCUGGUCGAAGGAAUUUUGUUCUAACGUUCAAGAGCAAGAAGCUGAAAACAACAUACAUUAAAUUCAAGAAGGUCUUAACGAGGUCACUUCUAGUUGAUUCAAAAGAGUCCAAUUACCAUUAUUCAUAGAACAUGUCGAAUGAAGGAGCUGUGUAAUAGUACCAAAAAGAUAUGGCUCACAACCUUCGUUAUCUUUAGCUGUACUGGAAGCAUUGUUUUGAAUGAAUAUAUCUCAACCAACCAUCGUUACCUAUGCCGUUCGUUUCUAUCUGAAAAGAAGAUGAAAAUUUUAUUUGUUUUAGUAAACAAUCCCAAAACUGCAUGGCUGGGUUAGUCUACUUAUAUUUUAUAUAAAUAUGAUGAAUGAUGAAAAAUUCACCACAAAAAGCAAGGUUUUUGGCUCGGACACGUGUUUGAAACUACCACAUGAAUCCAAUUCAUGAAUAGAGUAUUUGAUUGAAAGUUAAAUUGCAAAGAAGAAAUCGAACUGAAGGCAAAAAAAUCCAUCACGAAAAAAGUCUCCCUGGUAUUAUCGAGAGUACUAACCGCAGUGAGAUGGAUGUAAAGUCAAUAAAUUCAGAAACACUUAUCUGAUCCACGGUUAACAAAUUUUAUUUGCUGCAACAGCCAACUUUUAUUCAGCAUGGAUACUAUUCAGGCAAAGGCCAAACAGUAUGACGAAUUGGGUAUUUAAUUGCAAGGAUUAAUAUUGUUCACUCUUUAUGCGAAUGGCUCUGUUAACUUACCGUCUUCUAUGACAUUUUAUACUGCGACAUAAGAACAACAUUUUCCUUGUGUAAAUUGGCCGUGAAUCGCCAAAGGGAGUUUGUUCUAACGUUCAAGAGCAAGAAGUUUGUAGUUGAAUAAAGCAUACUUGAAAUUCAAGAAGGUCUAAACGAGGUCACUUCUAGUUGAUUCAAAAGAGUCCAAUUACCAUUAUUCAUAGAACAUGUCGAAUGAAGGAGCUGUGUAAUAGUACCAAAAAGAUAUGGCUCACAACCUUCGUUAUCUUUAGCUGUACUGGAAGCAUUGUUUUGAAUGAAUAUGCCUUAAACAACUAUGCUUACGAUUUUACGUUCGUUUAAUUUUAAAUGGAGAUGUAAAUUUCUUGUGUGUUUAUUGGUUUUGUUGAAUGAUUCCAAAACUGCCUGGCUAGCCCUAACUGUCAACUAGAAAUCUAUGUGGUUUUUGGCUGGCACACGUGGUUAAAACUGCCACAUGAACCCAAUUCAUGAAUAGGAUAUUUACUUGGCUGGAUUCACACUGUUGAGCUAUUGUUUGAUUGGCUAUGUCAAAUUCUCGUCUUCUAUGACAUUUUAUGCUAGAUAUGAUUUAAAAGCAACAAGUUUUCCUUGUGUAAAUUGGCCAUGGCUGGUCGAAGGAAUUUUGUUCUAACGUUCAAGAGCAAGAAGCUGAAAAAAACUUACAGCAAAGUUUUUGGCUGGUAAAACCCGUUUUUUGAUAUGCUGGAAAUUACAUGAGAUUUCAAGAACAGGCAAUCUGGUGCAUGGUGAAAGAACUUUAUUUUCUGGAAUGGUCAACUUUUAUUCUGCAUGGACACUAUUGGCUCACUGUAUUACACUUGAUAGUGUCUAAUUCAAUUUGUCAGUGGUUUAAUCAAUCACACAAUCUUCAAUUACAUAUGUCAUGGAAUAAACUUUCUCUUGAUAAAAAA